GGUGUGGGUGUAUGUGUGUGUUGAACUAGUGGACAGAGACAUAAAGACAGACACAAAAAUAAAGCUGCAUCUUUAACCCAGAAGUCACUGUUCAGCAUGAGUCUUGAUACAUAUAACAAAGAAU